AAUAGAUACCCCGGUAGUCCACGCCGUAAACGAUGAGUGCUAAGUGUUAGAGGGUUUCCGCCCUUUAGUGCUGCAGCUAACGCAUUAAGCACUCCGCCUGGGGAGGUACGGUCGCAAGACUGAAACUCAAAGGAAUUGACGGGGGCCCGCACAGGCGGUGGAGCAUGUGGUUUAAUUCGAAGCAACGCGAAGAACCUUACCAGGUCUUGACAUCCCCUGACAACUCUAGAGAUAGAGCGUUCCCCUUCGGGGGACAGAGUGACAGGUGGUGCAUGGUUGUCGUCAGCUCGUGUCGUGAGAUGUUGGGUUAAGUCCCGCAACGGGCGCAACCCUUGAUCUUAGUUGCCAGCAUUUAGUUGGGCACUCUAAGGUGACUGCCGGUGACAAACCGGAGGAAGGUGGGGAUGACGUCAAAUCAUCAUGCCCCUUAUGACCUGGGCUACACACGUGCUACAAUGGAUGGUACAAAGGGCUGCAAGACCGCGAGGUCAAGCCAAUCCCAUAAAACCAUUCUCAGUUCGGAUUGUAGGCUGCAACG
rnacentral:rRNA from 1 species